UUUGCUUCUCGGCCUUUUGGCUAAGAUCAAGUGUAGUAUGUGUUCUUAUCGGUUUCAUGCCGGUGGCAGGUGACGCUGGUGGGGAUGGGUGCUGCAUGGUAGGGGGCAGGUGUACUGGGGCACCAUGAUCUCUGCUCCUUGUGGCACUCACCUCUUGAUUCCCGGCCUUCUGACUAGGAUCAGAGACAUAUU